GACGAACCGUGCAAACGUUGUUCGGAAUCACUGGGCUUAAAGGGCGCGUAGGCGGAUUCACAAGUCUGUGGUGAAAUCCUCCAGCUUAACUGGAGAAGUGCCGUGGAUACUGUGAGUCUCGAGGAGGAUAGGGGCAUCUGGAACUGCCGGUGGAGCGGUGAAAUGCGUUGAUAUCGGCAGGAACUCCGGUGGCGAAGGCGAGAUGCUGGAUCCUUUCUGACGCUGAGGCGCGAAAGCCAGGGGAGCAAAC
rnacentral:rRNA from 1 species